GACGAACGCUGGCGGCGUGCUUAACACAUGCAAGUCGAACGGAAAGGCCCUGCUUUUGUGGGGUGCUCGAGUGGCGAACGGGUGAGUAACACGUGAGUAACCUGCCCUUGACUUUGGGAUAACGUCAGGAAACUGGGGCUAAUACCGGAUAGGAGCUCCUGCUGCAUGGUGGGGGUGGGAAAGUUUCGGCGGUUGGGGAUGGACUCGCGGCUUAUGAGCUUGUUGGUGGGGUCGUGGCUUACCAAGGCUUUGAAGGGUAGCCGGCCUGAGAGGGUGACCGGGCAAAUUGGGACUGACAUACGGCCGAGAGCCGUACGGGAGGCAGCAGUGGGGACGAUUGCAUAAUGGGCGGAAGCCUGAUGCAGCAACGCCGCGUGAGGGAUGACGGCCUUCGGGUUGUAAACCGCUUUCGCCUGUGCCGAAGCGUGAGUGACGGUAAUGGGUAAAGAAGCACCGGCUAACUCCGUG
rnacentral:rRNA from 1 species